CACACACACACACACACACACACACACACACACACACCAAAGUUACACAUAUUGGUGCAAUCAGAAACUAGGAAUACUUUACUUUUGAGACAACUGUAAACUGUAUUUCUACCAUUUAUUUUACAACCCAAAUAAAACUCUUAAAGACA